UGGGGAAUUUUGGACAAUGGGCGCAAGCCUGAUCCAGCCAUGCCGCGUGCGGGAAGAAGGCCUUCGGGUUGUAAACCGCUUUUGUCAGGGAAGAAAUCUUCUGAGUUAAUACCUCGGGAGGAUGACGGUACCUGAAGAAUAAGCACCGGCUAACUACGUGCCAGCAGCCGCGGUAAUACGUAGGGUGCAAGCGUUAAUCGGAAUUACUGGGCGUAAAGCGUGCGCAGGCGGUUUUGUAAGACAGAGGUGAAAUCCCCGGGCUCAACCUGGGAACUGCCUUUGUGACUGCAAGGCUUGAGUGCGGCAGAGGGGGAUGGAAUUCCGCGUGUAGCAGUGAAAUGCGUAGAUAUGCGGAGGAACACCGAUGGCGAAGGCAAUCCCCUGGGCCUGCACUGACGCUCAUGCACGAAAGCGUGGGGAGCAAAACAGGAUUAGAUACCCUGGUAGUCCACGCCCUAAACGAUGUCAACUGGUUGUUGGGAAGGUUCCUUCUCAGUAACGUAGCUAACGCGUGAAAGUUGACCGCCUGGGGAGUACGGCCGCAAGGUUG
rnacentral:rRNA from 1 species